AGUGAACGCUGGCGGUAGGCCUAACACAUGCAAGUCGAACGGCAGCACAGUAAGAGCUUGCUCUUACGGGUGGCGAGUGGCGGACGGGUGAGGAAUACAUCGGAAUCUACUUUUUCGUGGGGGAUAACGUAGGGAAACUUACGCUAAUACCGCAUACGACCUACGGGUGAAAGUAGGGGAUCUUCGGACCUUGCGCGAUUGAAUGAGCCGAUGUCGGAUUAGCUAGUUGGCGGGGUAAAGGCCCACCAAGGCGACGAUCCGUAGCUGGUCUGAGAGGAUGAUCAGCCACACUGGAACUGAGACACGGUCCAGACUCCUGCGGGAGGCAGCAGUGUGGAAUAUUGGACAAUGGGCGCAAGCCUGAUCCAGCCAUACCGCGUGGGUGAAGAAGGCCUUCGGGUUGUAAAGCCCUUUUGUUGGGAAAGAAAAGCAGCAGGUUAAUACCCCGCUGUUCUGACGGUACCCAAAGAAUAAGCACCGGCUAACUUCGUG
rnacentral:rRNA from 1 species